rnacentral:rRNA from 1 species
GACGAACGCUGGCGGCGUGCUUAACACAUGCAAGUCGAACGGAAAGGCCCUGCUUUUGUGGGGUGCUCGAGUGGCGAACGGGUGAGUAACACGUGAGUAACCUGCCCUUGACUUUGGGAUAACUUCAGGAAACUGGGGCUAAUACCGGAUAGGAGCUCCUGCUGCAUGGUGGGGGUUGGAAAGUUUCGGCGGUUGGGGAUGGACUCGCGGCUUAUCAGCUUGUUGGUGGGGUAGUGGCUUACCAAGGCUUCGACGGGUAGCUGGGCUGAGAGGGUGAGCAGCAAGAGUGGGACGGAGACACGGCCCAGACUCCGACGGGAGGCAGCAGUGGGGAAUAGGGGACGAUGGGCGAAAGCCGGAGCCAGCAAUGCCGCGUGAGGGAGGAAGGGCUUAGGGUUGUAAAGCUCUGUUACCCGGGAGGAUAAUGACAGUACCGUGAGAAGAAGCUCCGGCUAACUCCGUG